AUCGCUUCUCGGCCUUUUGGCGAAGAUCAAGUGUAAAAAAUUUUAAAGCAUUUUUUAAAAAAAUGUUUAUUUUUUAUUAUUUGUUUUGAGAGAGCAAAUGAAAGCAGAGAGAGAGGGGCAGAGAGAGAAUCCCAAGCAGGCUCUGUGUUGUUUGCGCAGAGCCAGAUGUGGGGUUCCAUCCCAC